rnacentral:rRNA from 1 species
ACCAUGCAAGUCGAACGAUGAAGCCCGGUGCUUGCACCGGGUGGAUUAGUGGCGAACGGGUGAGUAUCACGUGAGUAACCUGCCCUUGACUCUGGGAUAAGCCUGGGAAACUGGGUCUAAUACCGGAUACGACCAGUCACCGCAUGGUGUGCUGGUGGAAAGCUUUAGCGGUUUUGGAUGGACUCGCGGCCUAUCAGCUAGACGGUGAGGUAAUGGCUCACCGUGGCGAUGACGGGUAGCCGGCCUGAGAGGGUGACCGGCCACACUGGGACUGAGACACGGCCCAGACUCCUACGGGAGGCAGCAGUGGGGAAUAUUGCACAAUGGGCGAAAGCCUGAUGCAGCGACGCCGCGUGUGGGAUGACGGCCUUCGGGUUGUAAACCACUUUCAGCAGGGAAGAAGCUUUUUGUGACGGUACCUGCAGAAGAAGCGCCGGCUAACUACGUGCCAGCAGCCGCGGUAAUACGUAGGGCGCGAGCGUUAUCCGGAAUUAUUGGGCGUAAAGAGCUCGUAGGCGGUUUGUCGCGUCUGCUGUGAAAGCCCGGGGCUUAACCCCGGGUGUGCAGUGGGUACGGGCAGGCUAGAGUGCAGUAGGGGAGACUGGAAUUCCUGGUGUAGCGGUGAAAUGCGCAGAUAUCAGGAGGAACACCGAUGGCGAAGGCAGGUCUCUGGGCUGUUACUGACGCUGAGGAGCGAAAGCAUGGGGAGCGAACAGGAUUAGAUACCCUGGUAGUCCAUGCCGUAAACGUUGGGCACUAGGUGUGGGGGACAUUCCACGUUUUCCGCGCCGUAGCUAACGCAUUAAGUGCCCCGCCUGGGGAGUACGGCCGCAAGGCUAAAACUCAAAGGAAUUGACGGGGGCCCGCACAAGCGGCGGAGCAUGCGGAUUAAUUCGAUGCAACGCGAAGAACCUUACCAAGGCUUGACAUACACCGGACCGCCCUAGAGAUAGGGUUUCCCUUCGGGGCUGGUGUACAGGUGGUGCAUGGGUUGUCGUCAGCUCGUGUCGUGAGAU